CUGCUUACCAGACCUGUGUAUCGAUGUUUGUCUUGUUUAUGUCUUCAUGACUCUCAGGAUUUGAGAUGAUUCUUCUGCAAUUGAAGGUAAGGUGGGAUGCUAACAACCUAUACUGACGUGAGGUGUUUUUUUUUUUUAACAAUUCUGCAUUCAUAGAAUCCCGGAAUCAUAGAAUGGCCUGGGUUGAAAAGGACCACAAUGAUCAUCGAGUUUCAACCCCCCUGCUAUGUGCAGGGUUGCCAACCACCACACCAGGCUGCCCAGAGCCACAUCCAGCCUGGCCUUGAAUGCCUCCAGGGAUGGGGCAUCCACAACCUCCUUGGGCAACCUGUUCCAGUGCGUCACCACCCUCUGUGUGAAAAACUUCUUCCUAACAUCUAACCUAAACCUCCCCUGUCCCAGUUUAAAACUAUUCCCCCUUGUCCUAUCACUGUCCACCCUUGUAAACAGCUGUUCCCCCUUCCUGUUUAUACACUCCCUUCAAGUACUGGAAAGCCACAGUACGGUCUCCCCGGAGCCUUCUCUUCUCCAAGCUAAACGAGCCCAGUUCCCUCAACCUUUCCUCAUAGGAGAGGUGCUCCAGCCCUCUGAUCAUCUUAGUUAUUGCAUUCUUUGCAAUCACUUGCAGCCUGGGACUGCUUUCUGGCUCUGAAUUAUUAGAUACCCUUUACUACUUUUUUCUUGUUGUGACAUCUUCCUGCCAUACAAUUCAUAUGACAACUGCCAUUUAGUGUGUAUAUAUAGGGAAGGGUUGUUUAUUUUAGUACCAAUUGUCACACCUGUUAUAAACAUACUACUGCUACAUAUUCCAGUUGCCAAAUAUAUAAUAACAACUGCAGUACUCUUUAAAACUGACUUAAGACUGAGAUGGAAAGUGGCUGCAGUGUACUUGCUUUCAGUGAUGUCUGGGCUGGAGUUAUUUGGAGCUGCAGUGGUUGAUUACUGUUUGCGAGGAGGGUAAGAAUAUUAAAAGUUAAUGGCCAGCCUUGGAAUAACAGAUAUCUGAUACUGUUGGGCUUUCCUAGUGGUGAAGAAAGAUAAUUUGGGUACAGGAACGGGAGUCGGUUUGUAUUAGAUUUAACUUACAAGAAAAUGCUACGAUGAAAAUCUCCUUUUUAUUUGGUUUGAUGUAUUUCUGCAGUUCUUAAAAUAAUUGUGGCAAAUGGAGCGAUGUUUGAAGUGUAUAAAAAUGGAAAGCUUUCAUUCCAUCUCUGAGAAGCGUGCCAAGUGAUGAAAAUUAAGGUAAAAAGGAAUUUGUGGAAGAAAUGAAGAGCAUAGACUUCUCUGGAAUGUGAGAGGUAUGGAAAUUUGCUUUGUGCUAUAAGAAGGAACAACAGGUGAUUCAUGGCCUAAUAGGAAAAGCAGGCAUAUGUGGAUUUUCACUAUUUAUAUGGCUGGAAAUAGUUGAAAUCUGAGAAGGAGAGACAGCUGCUGCACAGCAGAAGUACCAAAAUAGCAGUGUGCCAAAAUUUUACUAAGAAUCUUGAAAUGUUGAUGGUUUGCUUUUGAAGACUCACAAAUAGGGUACAGUGAAUAUGAAAUUGUACUAGAAAACAAUACCUUUUGGUGAGUUGUAGGAUCACCUGGACUGGAGAGAAGUGGAGGACUGGGCAGAAGAGGAGGAAAUAUGGAUGUUUGUUAGGGAAAACUGAACAGUGAGAACAUGCAAGCUGGGUGAAGGGAUAGGCUCAAGAGUGGUGUGAUCCAUGGCGUGAAGGCCACCCAGAGGCAGGCGUGUUGGUGUUCCUGCAAUAUUCAGGAAUUUCCUUCUGGGGCUGCAUUUGGCUUGAGGACUACAGCUGCUGCACACAGCAAACCAGGGUGACCAGCAGAUGUCAGCUCUUUGGUUCGGUGCAGGUUUUUUUUAAUAUACUGGUAUUUUGAAACACUCCGCUUUUAAAGCUCUGUGUUAAUGUUCAUAGGGAUAUUAAUGAUUUUGAAAGCUUUAUGAAAGAUGAGUGCAUCUGUGUCCUGCUUAACUAUCAGAUGCAGAAAACCACAGCCCACAGUGACUGGUCCAGAAACAGAAGGGGUGAGAAGGUAACCAGAUGUCUGGUACAUGAAUUUGCUUUGGCUUUGUUUUAAUAGAAUUCAUGCUGCAGAAAGGAUGCUUGAAUUCUGCACAUCUUUUAUGUCAAUAAGGGCAGUUUGUCUUCCACCUACCUUAGAUUUGAUUCUUAAGUGUGAAAGGCUAACGUUUGCCAGCAGCUCGGUAUUUGCUUCCACACAGAUACUGUAUAGUGCGCAGUUUGUCUUAUACCGACUUACAUAUCCUUAAGAUGCAGUAUGUGGGAUGAGUCAUAAGCAAACGGCAACACCCUUCAUUUGGUGGGGAUGGGAUCUUUUUAGUGCUGCUUUAGUACAAGUGAAUCAACUCCUGCACUUUCUGUAAUGUCACUGACUGCAAGAAUCAUUACUGGAGUAAAUCAUGACACCUUAAUCUUGCAAAGGUCAGCGUUUCCAUUUUGUACAGCCAAGGAAAACAAGCGUAAUAUAUGAAUUCUUGCUAGUGCAACUUCAUUGUGCCAAGGAGGUUUAGAUCAGACAUAAGGAAGGAUUUUUUUCAUGGAGAGGGUGGCCAAGCACUGGAAUUGGCUGCCCAGGGAAGUGGUGGAGUCCCCAUCCCCAGAGGUAUUUAAGAGAUGAGUGCACGUGGCACCAAGGGAUGUGAUUUAGUGAUGGGACUUGGUAGGUCAGGUGGACGGUUGGGCUUGGUGAUCUUGAAGGUCUUUUUCAACUGAGAUAAUUCUAUGAUUCUGUGAUUCUUUUCUAUGAAUUCAGUAUGGUUUUUUUUUCAUUUUCUUGAGCUUCAUUUGAGCCCAUAAGCAAAUAAUUGCAGUGUUACACCUGAAACUUUUGGGCUAGGCAGAAUAUGUUCGUUUUUUUCUCUCUGGUGAGAAGAGAGUUUGUGGGGAAGCACAGAGAGGGCACAACUGUUCUGUAUGAAGAAAACUACAGGGGAAGCCAAAUCAAGUAGAUGAUGGAGACCCAACUUGGAAUAGCAAAUGCUGUUUGGCAAUACUGUAGCAUUCAUGUUAGAGUUUAAAAAAAAAAAAAAGUGAACUGCGUGCUCUUAUAGGUCUGCUCACUAUUUAUUGGCCUCUGCUUGGUUAUUCUGAAGAGAAAGUGCUUUUAGCUUUUGUUAUGUAGACUCAUUAAGGACUUCUGCUGUCCUGUGUGAUGUGCCUAAGUGCACCCUAACAAAAUCUUGAGUACUUUGGCUGAAUAAAUGAAAGCUUUCUUUUUUUCCACCUCUAGAGAGCUCCCUCGAGCUGCUUCUGUGGAGCAGCCUCGGUAAAACUUUCAGUCCCUACUGAGUGAUUAAGGUUUGAACUUAAACGUUUGAUCCUUUAAUUAUUGCAUUCUGUAGCCUUAUACUACCAAGGAAAUACUUAAUAUUGCACAUGAUUACAAUGCUUUGCUUCCCCAUGCUCUUCUGAGAGGAACAUUUUGCUGCACGCAUUCACUCACUGGUAAGCUGGAAGAGAAGGCACAGACGCAUCCUGACAGCUGAACGGAAUUCCAGUGGACUCACAAUUGCUACCUAGAAAUUCAUAUGUAUCUGAAAUUAAAAAUAUAGGAUUCCAGAACUGGAUUUAUCUAUCCUGUCUAUUAUUUCAGUUGAUUUCAGGCUUGCCUUUUCUUUCCAGUCUCAUCAGGAGGAAAUCGCAGUUGCUGUGGACAGGACUACACAGGGAAAAUGAAACAAAGGUGAUGAUACCACCUGCUGCGUGCGAACUCAGUCCCACGCCGAACACACGCAUUGCAUGGGUGAUAAAUCUGCAUUCAAUGACAGCAGAUUUGGGCUCAUCGCUUUGCCUCAAUCAUCAGG
ensembl:lncRNA